GGAAUACACCCGCCUCCACCCCAUCGGCAGCCUCGAACGUGCUUCCCUGAAGCCUCCUGUUGGCUCCAUCACAGAGAAAAAGGAGGAAAGACCAGAGGCCAACAGGAGCCCACCCUCCCUGCACAAGAGGGAGCAGGUGGGUCCCAUGCAGUCACAGGGUCCUUAAGAGUGGAGGAGGCACAGGAGAGAGCCGGGGGAGAUGCGGCUGCAGGAAGCACCGAGAGAUGCGACAUCUCAGCUUUGAAGAUGGAGGAGGGGCUUGGAGCCAAGGAGUGCAUGACCUCUAGAAGCUGGAAAAGGCAAGGAAACGGGCUCUCCCUAGAGUGUCCAGAGGGACCAGCCCUGUCCAGACCUUGACUUCAGCCAGGCGAGAGAUGUUGGACCUCUGACCUGCAUGAGUGUCAGGUGGUAAAUCUGCGCAGUGUUCAGUUUGUGGUAACUUUUACAGCAGCCCCAGGAAGCACAUCCAGCCCUUUCCUUCCCCAUCUCUAACAGUGGGUGCCUCGAGAGCAGCCUGGACCCACCAUGUGGGCAAAGGAUUACCUAGGUGCCGAGGCAAGAGACUGAAGGCACAAACUGUUUCAGUAUAACAAAGAAAAUAGUUAGAAUAAGAACAGUCAUAAUACAAAUUAGAUAUAGAGAUGAUCAUGGACAAUUAUCAAUCAUUAGGAUAAACAUUAUUAAUCAUUUAGCUUUUAAUAUUACUCUUUGUUACAUUACAAAUAUAACCUAGGGAUAAUCGGUGGGUAUAGCAUCAGGUCUGAAGGGACAUUGUGAGAAGUGACCUGGAAGGCAAGAGAUGAGCCCUCUGUCAUGCCCAUAUAAGGACCACUUGAGGGCUCCUUGGUCAAGCGGUAAUGCCAGUGUCUGGGAAGGCACCUGUUACUUAGCCGACCGUGAAAGGGAGUCUCCUUUCCUCGGAGGAGUCAGGGAACGCUCUGCUCCACCAGCUUCCUGUGGGAGGUUGGAUAUUAUCCAGGCUUGCCCGCAGUCAUCCGGAGGCCUAACCCCCUCCCUGUGGUGCUUCAGUGGUCACGCUCCUUGUCCACUUUCAUGCUCCUCCCAUACUCCUGGUUCCUCUUUAAAGUUCGUAGUAGUUAGCAGUAGAAGAAAUAGUGAAAGUCUUAAAGUCUUUGAUCCUUCUUAUAGUGCAUAGAAGAAAACGCUGACGUAUGCUGCCUUCUCUCUCUGCCUCAGCUACCUAAAAGGGAAGGGCCCCCUGUCCCAUGAUCACUUGACUUGCUUGACCUUAUCAAUCACUUAGAAGAUUCACCCUCCUUACCCUGCCCCCUUGUCUUGUAUGCAAUAAAUAUCAGUGCGCCCAGUGGUUCGGGGCCACUACCAGUCUCUGCGUCUUGGUGGUGGUGGUCCCCUGGGCCCAGCUGUUUUCUCUUUGUCUCUUCGUCUUGUGUCUUUAUUUCUUACAAUCUCUUGUUUCCACACAUGGGGAAAACACCCACUAAGCCUCGUAGGGCUGGUCCCUACACCACCGGGCCCCCAAUGACCCCAUCGAUCCUGGGCCCUCCACCUGCUGGGCUGCAGUAUAUCCAGCACCCCCCAGGCCUCACCCUGAGCUCUGGGAGCCUCUCAGAGCCUGCACCUGUUUGCUGGGUGGACACCUCC
rnacentral:lncRNA from 1 species